GAUGAACGCUGGCGGCGUGCUUAACACAUGCAAGUCGAACGACGAAGCCCGGGUUGCUUGGUGGCUUAGAGGCGAACGGGUGAGUGACACGGGAGUAACCAGCCCAUCACCCUGGGAUAAGCCGGGAAAACGGGGACUAAUACCGGAAAGGAGCGUGCAGCGCAUGGAGGGCGUUGGAAAGAUUUGUCGGGUUUGGAUGGGCUGGCCGCCUAUCAGCUUGUUGGGGAGGAAGUCGCUCACAAAGGCGACGGCGGGUAGCCGGCCUGAGAGGGUGACCGGGCCCCCGGCGACUGUGCUACGGCCCAGACUACUACGGGAGGCAGCAGUGGGGACGAAUGCCUAAUGCGCCCAAGCCUGGUGCAGCGUCGCCGCGUUAUGGAUGACGGCCUUCGGGUUGUCAGCCUCUUUCUGUCCGGAAGGAGCGUUUGUGCCGGUACCUGCUGAAUAAGCACCGGCUAACUCCGUG
rnacentral:rRNA from 1 species